rnacentral:rRNA from 1 species
ACUCCUACGGGAGGCAGCAGUGGGGAAUCUUGCGCAAUGGGCGAAAGCCUGACGCAGCAACGCCGCGUGGGGGAUGAAGGCCUUCGGGUUGUAAACCCCUUUCAGCAGGAACGAAACUGACGGUACCUGCAGAAGAAGCCCCGGCCAACUACGUGCCAGCAGCCGCGGUAAUACGUAGGAGGCGAGCGUUAUCCGGAUUUACUGGGCG